rnacentral:rRNA from 1 species
GACAGAGGGUGCAAACGUUGUUCGGAAUUACUGGGCGUAAAGCGCGUGUAGGCGGCUUCGCAAGUCGGGUGUGAAAGCCCUGGGCUCAACCCAGGAAGUGCAUUCGAAACUGCGGAGCUGGAGUCCUGGAGAGGAAGGCGGAAUUCUCGGUGUAGAGGUGAAAUUCGUAGAUAUCGAGAGGAACGUCGGUGGCGAAGGCGGCCUUCUGGACAGCGACUGACGCUGAGACGCGAAAGCGUGGGGAGCAACAGGG